rnacentral:rRNA from 1 species
GACGAACGCUGGCGGCGUGCUUAACACAUGCAAGUCGAGCGGUAAGGCCCUUUCGGGGUACGACGAGCGGCGAACGGGUAGGAGUAACAACGUGGGUGGACCUCGCCCUCCAGCUCUGGGAGUAAAGACCUCGGGAAACGUAGGGUCGUAAUAACUGGAGUAUGACUCCACGGUGGCAUGUCGUGGGGUGGGAAAGACCCUCGUGCGGCGUGAGGA